GCUUUUAAACUUGUUUUCUGAAAGAUCAGACAUCCAAAUUCUCCUGUUCGCUGAUAUGUGCAAAUGCAAACCUGGAAGUUUCCAGAAAAUGAGAUGAAUCAUGAUUGUGGGGAUAGAAAAGAGCACUAGAAAAGAGACCCUGGAUCACUGCUGAUCUUUGGUCAAGCACAUGACCGGCGCCUGAGAAGCAUACGAAGUUAAGACCCUUCCCCAGGAAGCACCGAAGCACAGCAGACUGAAGAACUCUUAAGCUCUGCAUGAAGAUUGGCUGAGCCACAAAGUCCAGAUCCUGACCCAGACUGGAAUUUUCCCCAAGUAUGGGUGUUUCUGAGCUGGGGUUUUGUUGGUGGCUUCAUCAGUUUCUGGUUUUCAAAAUAUAAAAUGAGUACAAAGAUGGUAGAACGACUAUGUCCAAAGUAAAAGACCAUGGAAACAUGCACUAAGCAAACAUAUCCAUAUUUUAAAGUCGUCACCUUUGCUGUUUUUGGCCAGUGCAGGUGGAAAGGGGGAGGGGGAAUGAUGUGAUGAGGAUAUGACUUUUGCAUCAAAUAAUAUUAUUGUUAGGAGUACUUUUUACAAACAUUAACUAAUUAAUAUUCACAACAAUUUUAUACCAAAGAUAAGUAUUGUAAUA